UAAAUAGUGUUGGUUUCAGGUGCCUGUAAUGGGAGAAUAGGGAAUCGAGUGGAAAUCUCGAACGGGCCCGCCACUGUGAAUGGGGAAUCCAUGCAUUGAUCCACUCUGAAGAAGGGGAAGGGAGCAUAGGGUAAUGAUCCUGAGUCAGGAGACCUGCCUGAAAUUAUCAAUGUUG
rnacentral:ncRNA from 2 species